rnacentral:lncRNA from 1 species
CUUCCCUUAACUCCCUGGAGAACCUGAACAGAUGACACCAUUAAGAAGUACCUUGUGGCUCCAUUGACUUUGCAGGAGCAGAGCCAGCCUGCAAGGCUGUUUGCGGAUCUGCAGCUCAUGCAGUCUUUAUCACGUCCCAGCUGAGAUGUGAACACCAGCAACCUGUGGCUCAAGGCCCUCGGCUGCUUUGACACCUUCUGAAUAAGCGAUUUUAGUGCAGAUGGCCCAGCCACACUGCCUCCAAUGGCUCUUUGAGGAUGUUUCGAUUGAUAAAGCUGUUUGAAAACAGGAUCCUUGGCAC